ensembl:lncRNA
GGUACAGUGAUCUCAUUGUUAAGGUGGACAGUGGAUAGACUGGUGUGUCUGCUUUGUUUUCCAGAAGGAUCCCCCUGAAGAGGACGUCGUCUAUCUGGACAUCGUGCUCAACGGCCAGGUCGGUUGCUGCUGCUUUGAUUUAAAAUGUUUUCUCUUGUUGGUGUACAUUGCUGAUCGUUUACUGACCCUCAUUAAUCCUUCCCGUAUCUCCACACCCUAGGAGAGAUGUGUUGAAGACUGGCCCGAGGACAGUCCUCAGCUGGACCCCGAAUUCAAACCGGUCAGACUCCACUUACUACGUUCAUUGUGUGAUUGUAGUCUUUUUGUUAUUUUUAUCCUCCGUAUUGGAAUGAUCCCCUCCCAUCCAGUAAGACUCCCGCUUGUUAGUAUUACCCUGCUGUUAUUCUUUUUGUUUGUUGCUUCAAUUUGUAAAGGUGCUUUACAAACGAAGUGUAUUAUAAUAUUUGAAUAGUGUUUAAAAUAAUUAAAUUGAUGUUGGAGCGGGUCCCCAGUAGAUAUAGCUAGAUCAUCCUAUGUGUGUAAUUUGAUCCCCAUGUCGCCAUCUCCCUCUAGUCUGGAACCUUCCGGCUGCGCAGAGAAUCAAUGAGGGUGAGCCCACUACUGCUCAAGGGCAGAGUUCGAUUGGAUGUUAAUAAGCGACAAACCAAAUAAUAAUAAAAAAAAGAUCUUCAUGAAUGGCAGGACAAUAACACUGAGGUGGUUAAUCCAACAGGUGAACGGUCUCUCUGAUGGAGAUGGCUACAGCCCUCUGGACAAUCCUGAGAAGAAAAGAGGAAGAAAAUUCAUAACGUCAACUUUCCUCAAAGGCUCGCUCAAGGAUAAAUAUCGGAAUGUGUCAAACGACGGCAAAGGUGAAACGCUUCUCAGGGCGUCAAAGGUGAAACAUGAAUAAACAACACAAAUGCACAACUAUCUCUAGAUUUAUUAUUUUUUAUAAAAAACAUUUCUGUUUUAUUUAAUGUUUUCAUCUUUCAGCGUGACAAAGAAGACAAAGAUGACAUCAGCGACUAUUCCUUCUCCAAGAGUUCAAUGGUGAGUGCUGUUUAAUAACAGUGCUGCUUGGCCACCAUAAUGAUCUUUUUCCAGUAUUAAUUUUCCUCCAUGUUGAUUUCCAGGAGGCUUUUCCAGAAACUAGCCUUUACGAAGACGAGAUGGAAGAGGAAAUGGACCACAAGCCGGUUAGUGUUUAAAAAAAUAAAUUAAAUUCUCAACUAUAACAAAAUGUUUGUUUGAAGUUUGAUCAUCAAUAAUGUAUCUCUGUGUUUAUCUCCUUUUGUCUCUCUAUCUCUCCCCCUCUGUCUCUCUCUCUCUCUCUCUCCAGAAGAGUAAGGCCAAGCUUCGGCUUGGCACCUUUCUCCGCAAGGGUUCCGAGGCGUCUGUCCUCCACAGCAAGGCAGACGGCGACCAGGUGAAUGCCAGCCAAUGGGACGACAGCCGCUGGUGCCAGGAAACGCAGGUAAGCUAAGCUAACGCAAGGUGUUUAAGCGAGUGAGUCAGAGUUCAAAUGGCCAACGUUCAAAAUUAAAAUGUGACGUCUCUCUGCGAUUGCGUUCUUCUUUAACAAAAAAUAUUUUUUU